rnacentral:rRNA from 1 species
AUGGCAGAGACGUCGCCCCUGCACCGGGUGAUCGACGCCGCCCGCUGGGACAAAGAGCGCCUCCUCGGCCGCCUCAUAAUCCUCGUCCACGCCGCCUUCCUCGACGUCGGCUUCGUGCUCCACGCCGACAGCGUCGGCAGGUCCGGGCGGGUCCCGCGUCGGGCGGGCCGGACGGCCUCGACUCUGUCCCUCGUGUACGCCGCGCCGCGCCGGCGGGACGCUGCCGUCCCGCUGAACAUGCGCACGCACUGCACGCACAUCGUCUUCUACGUGUGGGUGCCCAGGUUCGCCCAAGACCCACGACCGGGCACGCACUGGGUGUGCUUGGACGCACGCGUCGCGGCGCCGCUCUUGUCACGCGGCCUGGACGACACCGCGCGCGCUCUGACUGACGACGGCGACUGCACGGUGGCCGCGCUAUGGAGGGAGCUCACCGAGAAGCUGUGCCGGUCUACCCUUGUCGCCGUGUGCCCAGGCAAUGCCCUCUUGUCACUCUCCGUCGACAUCAUGGUGGACAUCUUGGCGAGGCUCACCGACGGCGUGGACCUCUUUAGGGUGGCGAGCACUUGCGCCGGACUGAGCCGCCUGGUGGCCGACCAUGACAGCGAGCUCUGGAAGCACAGGUAUAAGGCCGCGUUCUGGCGGAGAUGGGACGACUCGUCCCCAAUGGUCGACGACGCGUCCGGGACGACUUGGAUGGAGCUGUGGUGCAGAGAGACACGAGAACACGCCAAGUUCGGCGCGUAUAUACGCGCGUGUCGUCGUCGAAACCUACUCCGGUAUACUAGAAAGGGUCAAUAG